CCUACGGGAGGCAGCAGUGAGGAAUAUUGGUCAAUGGCCGUAAGCCUGAACCAGCCAUGCCGCGUGAAGGUCAAUUCCCUAUUGGCGUUUAAAUUCUUUUGUUCAGGAGCAAUAGUGGUCACGUGUGGCCAGACGAGAGUACCGUACGAAUAAGCGCCGGCUAACUCCGUGCCAGCAGCCGCGGUAAUACGGGGGAUGCAAGCGUUAUCCGGAUUUAUUGGGUUUAAAGGGUGCGCAGGCGGCCUGUUAAGUCAGCGGUAAAAGCGCGGGGCUCAACCCCGGUGAGCCGUUGAAAAUGGCGGUCUGGAGUUGGCGAGAAGUACGCGGAAUGCGCGGUGUAGCGGUGAAAUGCUUAGAUAUCGCGCAGAACCCCGAUUGCGAAGGCAGCGUACCGGCUCCACACUGACGCUGAGGCACGAAAGCGUGGGUAUCGAACAGGAUUAGAUACCCCGGUAGUC
rnacentral:rRNA from 1 species